rnacentral:rRNA from 1 species
CGGAGGAAAAGAAACCAACAGGGAUGCCUUNGUACGGCUGAGUGAAGCGGCAAGAGCUCAAAUUGUGAAAUCUGGUACUUUCAGUAUCCGAGUUGUAAUUUGAAGAAAGUUAUCUUGGAGCUUGGCCCUUGUCUAUGUUCCUUGGAACAGGACGUCACAGAGGGUGAGAAUCCCGUGCGAUGGGGUGCCCAGUUCUAUGUAAGAUACUUUCGACGAGUCGAGUUGUUUGGGAAUGCAGCUCUAAGUGGGUGGUAAAUUCCAUCUAAAGCUAAAUAUUGGCGAGAGACCGAUAGCGAACAAGUACAGUGAUGGAAAGAUGAAAAGAACUUUGAAAAGAGAGUGAAAAAGUACGUGAAAUUGUUGAAAGGGAAGGGUAUUUGAUCAGACUGAUAUUCAGUUAACACUGUUCCUUGUGGAUGGUGCUCUAGCUUUUUAUUGGGCCAGCAUCAGUUUAGGUGGCAGGAUAAGAACUGUUGAACGUGGCUCUUCGGAGUGUUAUAGCUUCAGUUGAUACGUGCCUAUCUAGACUGAGGUCU